rnacentral:rRNA from 1 species
AUUGAACGCUGGCGGCAUGCUUUACACAUGCAAGUCGAACGGCAGCACGAGUGCUUGCACUUGGUGGCGAGUGGCGAACGGGUGAGUAAUACAUCGGAACGUGUCCUGAAGUGGGGGAUAACGCAUCGAAAGAUGUGCUAAUACCGCAUAAUCUCUCAGGAGGAAAGCAGGGGAUCGAAAGACCUUGCGCUUUUGGAGCGGCCGAUGUCUGAUUAGCUAGUUGGUGGGGUAAUGGCCUACCAAGGCAACGAUCAGUAGUUGGUCUGAGAGGAUGGCCAACCACACUGGGACUGAGACACGGCCCAGACUCCUACGGGAGGCAGCAGUGGGGAAUUUUGGACAAUGGGGGAAACCCUGAUCCAGCAAUGCCGCGUGAGUGAAGAAGGCCUUCGGGUUGUAA